rnacentral:rRNA from 1 species
UUGAACGCUGGCGGCAUGCCUUACACAUGCAAGUCGAACGGUAGAGGAGCAAUCCUCGAGAGUGGCGAACGGGUGAGUAAUGUAUCGGAACGUGCCCAGUAGUGGGGGAUAGCCCGGCGAAAGCCGGAUUAAUACCGCAUGAGACCUGAGGGUGAAAGCGGGGGAUCGCAAGACCUCGCGCGGACGGAGCGGCCGAUGGCAGAUUAGGUAGUUGGUGGGAUAAAAGCUUACCAAGCCGACGAUCUGUAGCUGGUCUGAGAGGACGACCAGCCACACUGGGACUGAGACACGGCCCAGACUCCUACGGGAGGCAGCAGUGGGGAAUUUUGGACAAUGGGCGAAAGCCUGAUCCAGCCAUGCCGCGUGCAGGAUGAAGGCCUUCGGGUUGUAAACUGCUUUUGUACGGAACGAAAAAGUCUUCUCUAAUACAGGGGGCGAAUGACGGUACCGUAAGAAUAAGCACCGGCUAACUACGU